rnacentral:rRNA from 1 species
AGAGUUUGAUCAUGGCUCAGAACGAACGCUGGCGGCACGUUUUAAGCAUGCAAGUCGAACGGUAGUCCCGUUUUCGGAUGGGAUGAGAGUGGCGGACGGGUGAGUAACACGUAGGUGAUCUAUCUUAUGGUUGGGGGAUAGCCCAUGGAAACAUGGGGGUAAUACCGCAUGAGGCUGUAGUUAUAGAGAUUACAGUGAAAGGCGCGUUAUGUGCCGACUGAGGAUGAGCCUGCGGUCCAUUAGCUAGUUGGUUAGGGUAAAAGCCUACCAAGGCGACGAUGGAUAGCCGGCCUGAGAGGGUGGACGGCCACACUGGGACUGAGACACGGCCCAGACUCCUACGGGAGGCAGCAGCUAAGAAUCUUCCGCAAUGGGCGAAAGCCUGACGGAGCGAUGCCGCGUGAACGAUGAAGGCAGGAAUGUUGUAAAGUUCUUUUCCUGGUGAGGAAUAAGGUUAAGAGUGGACUGCUUGACUGAUGACGUUAACCAGGGAAUAAGCCCCGGCCAAUUACGUGCCAGCAGCCGCGGUAACACGUAAGGGGCGAGCGUUGUUCGGAAUUAUUGGGCGUAAAGGGCGUGUAGGCGGAUAAAUAAGCCUGGUGUAAAAGGCUUCGGCUCAACCGGAGUUAGGCGCUGGGAACUGUAUGUCUAGAGUACAGGAGGGGGAGUUGGAAUUCCUGGUGUAGGGGUGAAAUCUGUAGAUAUCAGGAAGAACACCGGUGGCGAAGGCGAACUCCUGGCCUGUUACUGACGCUGAGGCGCGAAAGCGUGGGGAGCGAACAGGAUUAGAUACCCUGGUAGUCCACGCUGUAAACGAUGUGCACUGGGUGUUGGUUCUAUGAAGGAUCAGUGCCGUAACUAACGCGAUAAGUGCACCGCCUGGGGAGUAUGCUCGCAAGGGUGAAACUCAAAGGAAUUGACGG